rnacentral:tRNA from 1 species
GGGAAUGUAGCUCAAUGGUAGAGCACAUGACUUAUAUGUACAAGGACCUGGGUUUAAUUUCCAGCACCA